rnacentral:rRNA from 1 species
ACACACGGAUAACAUACCGAAAGGUAUGCUAAUACGGGAUAAUAUAUUUGAGAGGCAUCUCUUGAAUAUCAAAGGUGAGCCAGUACAGGAUGGACCCGCGUCUGAUUAGCUAGUUGGUAAGGUAAAGGCUUACCAAGGCGACGAUCAGUAGCCGACCUGAGAGGGUGAUCGGCCACAUUGGAACUGAGACACGGUCCAAACUCCUACGGGAGGCAGCAGUGGGGAAUAUUGCACAAUGGGCGAAAGCCUGAUGCAGCAACGCCGCGUGAGUGAUGAAGGCCUUCGGGUCGUAAAACUCUGUCCUCAAGGAAGAUAAUGACGGUACUUGAGGAGGAAGCCCCGGCUAACUACGUGCCAGCAGCCGCGGUAAUACGUAGGGGGCUAGCGUUAUCCGGAUUUACUGGGCGUAAAGGGUGCGUAGGCGGUCUUUCAAGUCAGGAGUGAAAGGCUACGGCUCAACCGUAGUAAGCUCUUGAAACUGGGAGACUUGAGUGCAGGAGAGGAGAGUGGAAUUCCUAGUGUAGCGGUGAAAUGCGUAGAUAUUAGGAGGAACACCAGUUGCGAAGGCGGCUCUCUGGACUGUAACUGACGCUGAGGCACGAAAGCGUGGGGAGCAAACAGGAUUAGAUACCCUGGUAGUCCACGCUGUAAACGAUGAGUACUAGGUGUCGGGGGUUACCCCCUUCGGUGCCGCAGCUA